rnacentral:tRNA from 1 species
GCCAGUGUGGCAUAGUGGUUUGAGUGCUAGACUAUGACUCUGGAAUCUAGGGUUUGAUUCCCAGCUUGGCCA